CGGGGUGUAGCGCAGUUUGGUAGCGCGCUUGGUUUGGGACCAAGAUGCCGCAGGUUCGAGUCCUGUCACCCCGACCA
rnacentral:tRNA from 1 species